UUCACCUUUUUCCUCAGUCGGACCUGCUGCUGAGAGGCUGAAGAGAUCCUCUUUGAAUCCAUGCUGGAUCCAGGUUCUGAUGGUUCUAAUGCACCAGCAGAGUCCUGGUGCUGCUGUCAGACUGAAGACAACAGUGAUAUGAAUGCUGAAAGAAAUCCCACGCUUAGAGUGUAGCAGUGCCCCCUGCAGGUUGUCUCAAACCCUAACACCUCCUUCUGAGUGUCUGGUUGAUGAGGACAUGAAGGACAUAUAAAGACUGUCCUUCAACUACAGAACUUACCAUCAGAGCAACAUGAGAAAGUUUGGUUUUACUUUGAAGAUCUAAAAUCUGUCCCCUGUCCACCUGUCUGUCCAUCUGUCUAUCUGUAAACACACAUGCAGCUGUUAGCUGUGUUUUCACAAAGUUUAUUAAAUAAAUUAAUUUAAUGAAAA